ensembl:lncRNA
GAAAAGGUUCUCAUUUAUGGACAGACUGGGUAAAGAUUACAAAGUAACAGUUGGUAUAUGAUGAAAAGGUUCUCAUUUAUGGACAGACUGGGUAAAGAUUACAAAGUAACAGUUGGUAUAUGAUGAAAAGGUUCUCAGUUACAAUGUAGCCAUUCAUCACGAGUUGCGAAAAUAUAGCUGCAAAUGGAGCUGCUGUGUGUUGACACUAUUGCGGUAUAAAAUAACAGAUGUCACCUGCGGUUUAUUCAUCACCCAUAUUCUGUUGCAAAACGUUUCUUAAACAGAAGCAAACAAACCGAAACGGGGAGGGACCAACCUGAAUUUGUCUGCUUAGAUUAGUGAUUACACACCAUGUUAACAUGUCAAUUUACGAUCGUUGUAAAUGCUGUAACUCAUUUGGUUAUACGCAGUGCAUUUGGUAGGCAAGACCUUCUCAAAUGCUCCCGUUCAUAUAUACAGUCAUUCUGCUGCAGAUAGAAAUAUUAUGUAUUGUAAUGACCUGACUAGAUCGUAAAGGAUCUAUUGACGGUUUAUUAACCCAACUUUACACAGGCUACUGUUUGGCCGUAGCUCACGCCAAAUCAAUAAAAGAUACCCCACAAGCCAACCUUGACCAUCUCUUGUGAAGGCCAGACAUAAGAGAGAGAACAAAGGCUAAACCUGG